rnacentral:misc_RNA from 1 species
AACAUCGCGCACCUGCGGGAACCUGCGGAGGGAUCAUUAAAAAUUAUCCUCACUCAUGGAUAAUUUUAUCCAUAUCCACCUUGUGUGAAUUACUGAAUGUCUGUUGGCAGGUUUAAAAAGGCUUUUCCAUCAUAUGGAAAACUUUGGUGAGCGUUCGGCUCGGCCUGCCAAUUUUAUUUGUUUAAACUUGUCUAAAUAUUCCUAGUCUGAAAAUAUUUUAAAUAUAAUUAAUACAACUUU